GUCUGGGAAACUGCCUGAUGGAGGGGGAUAACUACUGGAAACGGUAGCUAAUACCGCAUAAUGUCGCAAGACCAAAGUGGGGGACCUUCGGGCCUCAUGCCAUCAGAUGUGCCCAGAUGGGAUUAGCUAGUAGGUGGGGUAAUGGCUCACCUAGGCGACGAUCCCUAGCUGGUCUGAGAGGAUGAUCAGCCACACUGGAACUGAGACACGGUCCAG
rnacentral:rRNA from 1 species